UACGAAGGGGGCUAGCGUUGCUCGGAAUCACUGGGCGUAAAGGGUGCGUAGGCGGGUCUUUUAAGUCAGGGGUGAAAUCCUGGAGCUCAACUCCAGAACUGCCUUUGAUACUGAAGAUCUUGAGUCCGGGAGAGGUGAGUGGAACUGCGAGUGUAGAGGUGAAAUUCGUAGAUAUUCGCAAGAACACCAGUGGCGAAGGCGGCUCACUGGCCCGGUACUGACGCUGAGGUGCGAAAGCGUGGG
rnacentral:rRNA from 1 species